UGCAACUCCUAAAUGCUAAACAUUUUUUUAUUUCUCUAAAUCGAGCGUGUUGGGGAUUUUCACAUUAUAAAGUGAUCAAACAAUUUUCUGUUUUCAAGAAGAAAAACUAGUUGUAUGAGCAUUAUAUGCAAAGUAGAAUAAACAUGACGAAAUUUUCCAAAUUAGUUUAUGCUAUGAUUCUCCUUCUUUUCAUAUUUCUUGUUGCAACUAAUGCCAUGAAUGCGAGUGAACGGUGUAUUCCUCCUCAAAUGCUUAUGUGCGAUUUGCAUGGGUGUCACUGUGGGACGUGGGAACAAACAGCUUGAAAAUUUAGAAGAAAAGUGAAAGAAAGUUUAAUAAGAAUUAAAUAAUUUAGAUAUUUUAGUUAGUAAUUUAUUUUAAUUUGUCUCGUUUAGUUGAACUUUUUAGUUGAAUUUCUGUUGGCCUUUAUAUCUAUUUAGAUUAUUAUCCAUUUAGUACGUAGUAAUGUACUAUAUAUUUAGUGUUUUGGACAAAUUUUAAUCAACUCAAUUAAUGAAUGAAAAUGUUUUAUUUUA